UGUACCGUUUUUCUUUUUUUAAAUAUACUUCUUAUUUGUAGACUACUGCUUUAAAAUUCAAUAUCGACACCUGUUUGCAAAUUUGACUAAUAAUUUAUUCUACAGGGUUUAAUAUAUAAAAAGUAAUAUCUGAAGCUCAGUGUGGCUGACCAUUGCACAGUCUCAAAAGCGUGGAUUUAAGCGUCGAGAUACGAUAUUCUCAACGUUAAACCUUGAGAGCAGUGUAUCAACAGCUGCAUGGUGAUCUGAUUGCCGCCAAAAGCACAUAAGAGAAUCGAAGGUACGUGCUUAAAAUGCUGUUGAUCCUUUACCGUCUUGGCACUAUAUCAUUUCUUCUUCUUGGUUGUUACUGGAGAGAAAAUAAAGGACAGCUUACAGGUGACUGAAUAUAUCUUGACUGUAAAUCGCUAUUGCAGCAUUUUUGCCUCGCUCGGUACUGACAGUCUGCACGGCUCUCUCACGAUGAGAUGUACAUCUGUGCAAAAUUCAAUAUCUCACUGAUUCCUAACAGCUGCAUCUCUUCCUCGAACACAUUGUAAGGAGUUUUAAACCUGACGCCAAAAUAAUCUAAAUAGUGAAGGUGAAUUAAUCAACAUGAAACGAGCGUGGGACAAAGAAAAAUUCUGAAUCCCCGACUG